rnacentral:lncRNA from 1 species
UAGUGUUCUUAAUUCUCAUAGGGUACGAGUUUCAAACACAGCGAUAAUGAAGCCCCUAGAGGAUAGAUAGAGUCACAGACAUCAAGCAGAGGCACCAGCUUCUUCCAACAGCUGCUUCACCUUUGUGAUUUAAUCGUUCAUUGCUUCGUCCGUUGAUUUCCCUGCCAACAAGGAAAAAUAUCAAUCUUAGAAAUAGCAAAGUCCAACACAAAUCAUUAAAAAAAGAAGAAGGAAACAGGCAUUAUUUAUCUCGGAGAUGGACCUGGUUGAGAAACAAAGCGUUGAAGCGUGACAAGUUGCAAAUCC